rnacentral:rRNA from 1 species
UACGUAGGGUGCGAGCGUUGUCCGGAAUUAUUGGGCGUAAAGGGCUCGUAGGCGGUUUGUCGCGUCGGGAGUGAAAACCUUGGGCUUAACUCAGGGCUUGCUUUCGAUACGGGCAGACUAGAGGUAUGCAGGGGAGAACGGAAUUCCUGGUGUAGCGGUGAAAUGCGCAGAUAUCAGGAGGAACACCGGUGGCGAAGGCGGGUCUCUAGGCCGACACUGACGCUGAGGAGCGAAAGCGUGGGGAGCGAACGGG